GAUGAACGCUGGCGGCGUGCCUAAUACAUGCAAGUCGAGCGAACAGACGAGGAGCUUGCUCCUCUGACGUUAGCGGCGGACGGGUGAGUAACACGUGGAUAACCUACCUAUAAGACUGGGAUAACUUCGGGAAACCGGAGCUAAUACCGGAUAAUAUAUUGAACCGCAUGGUUCAAUAGUGAAAGACGGUUUUGCUGUCACUUAUAGAUGGAUCCGCGCCGCAUUAGCUAGUUGGUAAGGUAACGGCUUACCAAGGCAACGAUGCGUAGCCGACCUGAGAGGGGGAUCGGCCACCCUGGAAAUGAGACCCGGUCCAGACUCCUACGGGAGGCAGCAGUAGGGAAUCUUCCGCAAUGGGCGAAAGCUUGACGGAGCAACGCCGCGUGAGUGAUGAAGGUCUGCGGAUCGUAAAACUCUGUUAUUAGGGAAGAACAAAUGUGUAAGUAACUAUGCACGUCUGGACGGUACCUAAGCAGAAAGCCACGGCUAACUACGU
rnacentral:rRNA from 1 species